GUUUGUUCUCGAAUCCGAAUACCUAAUCGUGUUCCGUCGUCACUCUCAGUCUCGAAUCUACCUCGUCUUCAAUCCGUCGUCUCUCUCGGUCUCUCUCGGUCUCGAAUCCGCCUUCUCUCUCGGUCUCUCUCGAAUAGUUAGGGUUUGUUGUCUCGUCUUUCGACCUCACCGAGACACGGAAACAGAAAUUUCGAAGUGCUUAAGCUACUCUGGGUGGUGCUCAUUGGAUUGGUGUUUGCACUCAUAAUCCAAUCCCUGGCUGCAAAUCUUGGUGUAAGCACAGGCAAACACCUUUCAAAAUUAUGCAAAGCUGAGUACCCAAAAUAUGUGAAGUAUUGC